rnacentral:snoRNA from 1 species
UGUUUGUGAUGAGGACAGUCUUUGAGCAUCCCCUUGAACCUCUCCCAAGCUAAGUAUAAAGACUCCCCCGCUUUCUAUUUGAAGGCAACUAUCUCACUUCUAAUUUU